UGAGGGAUUAUUAAAAAAGACACACUUUUAAAUCAUAACAUCUCAAAAAAGAAGUGCACAUAAUAGGUUUCCUUUGUCUAGGGUCCUAAGCUGUAUGUUGUCUGACUCAACUAAUGCAGCUUUAUUCAAAUUGAAUGCAUAACAUUUAGAGUGUAUGUGAUGAUCAUUUUAUCAAACUCUCAUAAAUACUUUAAAAUUAGUCUCAAUUGAUAGGUGGUCAAAGGAAAUUUUCGGAAAAAAAUAAAAUAAACUAAUAAUAAAAAUAAAUUUUUAUUAAUUUUUAAUUAAACAAUGAUUAUUAUUUUUUGAAAAUUGACAAGGACUUGACAAAUUAGUAGUUCGGCCCUCAUACAUGCUUGAUUUCAUGUUUGGAGUGCAACAUUGCAAACAAUUUGGGAGAAAUUGGGGAAAUUUCAAAAAAAAUCUCCAAAUUGGACCACCAACACUCGAAUUUCGAAAUUCAAGUGUAUGUGAUGAUCAUUUCAUCAAAUACUCCAAAAUACUUCGAAAUUGGGAAAAUUGUUGAAUUUUUCAAUUAAAGUUGAGGGAUUAUUAAAAAAGACACUUUUAAAUCAUAACAUCUCAAAAAAGAAGUGCACCUAAUAGGUUUCCUUUGUCUAGGGUCCUAAGCUAUAUGUUGUCUGACUCAACUAAUGCAACUAUAUUCAAAUUAAAUGCAUAACUUUUAGAGUGUAUGUGAUGAUCAUUUUAUCAAACUCUCAUAAAUACUUUAAAAUUAGUCUCAAUUGAUAGGUGGUUGAAGGAAAUUUUCGAAUAAUAAUAAUAAUAAUAAAAUUUUAUUAAUUUUUAAUUAAACAAUGAUUAUUAUUUUUUGAAAAUUGACAAGGACUUGACAAAUUAGUAGAUCGGCCCUCAUACAUGCUUAAUUUUAUGUUUGGAGUGCAACAUUGCAAACAAUUUGGGAGAAAUUGGGGACUUUUCAAAACAAAUCUCCAAAUUGGACCACCAACACUCAAAUUUUGAAAUUAAAGUGUAUGUGACGAUCAUUUCAUCAAAGACUCCAAAAUACUUCGAAAUUAAUCUCAAUUGAUAGCUAGUUUUGUUUUUUUUUAAAAAAAAAAACAAAACAAAACAUGAAGCACCAAUUGAUGUCGAAAUCAAAGCUCCAACUCCAUGACCCAAAAGUAGGCGAAUCAACCCAUUGGAUUGGACAAUGUAUGAAACAAAUGGAAUGAUAAAGCAAUAAUAUCUACAUCUGAUUAUUUAAGCUGCCCUGAUUUUUGGGCCAGUAUCUACAAUGUCUGACUGAAUGGCACGUGUUGUGGCAUGUAGAUGUGACCUCAAUGCAUACAAAUGCAAACUUAGCAGAAAAUGCUUGUAGCGUGCUAUUGUCUUGGGGUUUUUCAUUUUUCUUUUUAGCUUGUAAAUGAAGUGGAAUCGACAUAUCAGACACCAUUGCUGUUUUUUGGUUUGGUUCUCAGCUAUCCAGCUAUAAUCAAUGAUGUAUUAUAUAAUGCUCGGCAGAAGGUUUGUUCAGUAGGAUCAGGCUUUCAGUUUUUGUGCAAGUUGGGCCAAUGAUGAUCCAAACACUGAUGUGGUGGGCCUCACUGCUGAUGGCCUAUGCACCAAAAACUUCACAAUAUGAAGAUCCUGGCUAUAGAGCGUUUGAACUUUGUAUUGGUUGAACGGGUACUCAUUUCUGUAUUUUCUUUCUUAACUGUUUCUUAGCUGUCGGCCUAUUGAAAGGUUUAACAAAUUCUCCAUUAUGGAGGUUUUGGUGCAUGGACCAUAUGCAGUGGGAUGCACAGUAUCAACAUUCGUAUUGCAGAACAAUAGGCCCUGCAUCAAAAUGAAAGCCCAGAUGGUAUGAGCUCUUGGCCCCAGCAUUGUAUUAGUACCUCAUUGUUGACAGCUUGAAAUUGGAAAGUUAAUGCUUGGCAGGCCUCGUUGAUUUGGUGCUUUUGAAGAGGCAUGACUCAUGGAAACUUCAGUGAGAGGCUUCCAUACUUCCUAAACAUCGAAUAAGCAGAUUUUGCGCUUGUUAACGUGUUUCAACAAUAAUCUGAAACAUAAUUUAUAAACCAUCUCAAUGGGGCUGCUGGGAUUGAAGCAAAGUUGUCUGCAUACGCUGUGUAGGUCAUGCUUUCAGGACUAGUUAUUCUAUUCUUUAUUUCUCAAAUACUCAAGGGCAUGCGUGCUUUGCUUUUUUUAAAAAGUGUUUUCUUUUUGUGAUUUUGACUCUGAAAAUCACUUUUUUAGGCUUUUUGAGUGUGGUUGGUUGGCAAUUAAUUAAUCAAAAUUGAGAAAAACAGUUUUCCAAAAUUGUGCUUUUUUCGAAGCGAAGCCCCUGGUUUCCUACAGUCGUUUCAACUCCAAUAAACUUUGGAAAAGCGCACAGGUAAAAUCAAAGGUUCUCUUUGUUAUUGGAAGGUCUGUUAAUUGCACAAUUGAGAGGUGUACACUCCCACUUGCUAUCAUGGCAUGCAGGUCCAAGAGCAAAUCCAUCCACCGGUUGGUCUGACCAUAUUUUCCCUAAUGGUAAUUUGGUCCACUCGGAAGUUGGGCCCUAAUAUUGGAAAUAGGUGGAAGGGUUAGAAAACUUAAAAGAGUGUUUUAGAGCCGUGCAUUUGUUUUGCAAACUGUAGCCCUCCUAACCGGUGGAUCAUCCUAAUUCUCGGGCUAGGGCAUCAAUAUAGGUUUCUUUCAAAUGGAUGGAUUGGGUAUUUGAUUUACAUGCCAUAAUGGCAAACGUGAGGUGUUACAUGAGUUGUCAUGCCUAUGGGCUUAGCUAGUAUCAUCUUAGGAGAAGUCUGAUGGAUGUGACUUUCGAGGACAAGUCAUUAUUUUCUUAGCAUCCUGAGUGGGUAGUUAUUUUCAUAGGAUCUUACUUAUAAAUGAGUUGUACAAAUUAAAGACAGGCUAUAUAGGCAGUGUUGUUGAUGUCUACUAAACAAAACAUUUGCUUACAUAAGUUUGCUUUAAACCAAACGGUCAGAUGUGUAUAAUUCCAUGGUGGAAGCGUGAAAUAAACCUGGGUCCUGUCGGUCCGUCCUUCCUAACCAAUUUUGUGAGAAUGGUCACACAUAUAUAGCUAGGUUUAAAGUAUCAUCAGCGCACAGGUGUAACUGAUCUCAUGUCCGUACUGGCUUGGAACAGGCUGAUGUUGAUGCUAUAAUCCCAUAUGAUAGUGAAUGUUAUGAUAGAGUAAAAUUGGAUCUUAAUUGUUGAUGCACAUAUAUGUAACUAUUUUGAGAAGUAAUAGCACAAGUUUGAAGCCCGUCACCAAAAUACUCUUUUAUACAUACUUUGGACGGUAAAAAACAGUGUAAUAGGCUAUUGUGGGGGUUGGCUUGGCCACAAUCAAAUGCUACCUAAUGGUCUAUUAUAUAGUAGAAUCAACUGGUUCUGAUGCAGUUGGGCUCAUGGUUUGGCUGGGGGCCCAUACAUAUUACUGACUGGAAUACCUCAUCUGAUCUGUGGUUUUUCUCGAUUCUUUUACUGUGUAUUUUCUCAACCCACUUUUUAUUUUUAUUUUUUGUGGCUACCGAUCAAGGGCUGGGAUCUUUGGAAACGGAUUGUGUCCAGCAGGGUACUGGAGUUGUUCCAUCCAGCUCCUAUGAAAAAGCGAGGCACAUGUACAGAUCACCUGGAUGUGGGCUGGCGCAUGCUGCAAAAGGACAGUUAUGCAGAAGGUUGGGGAGUUGGGGUCAAGGGCAUUGAAAACGUAGCUUGUCUAACCCCCCGAGGAAAGGAAAAUUGAUAAAAGAAUAGAAACUGUCGCUUUCUUGGAUGACAGAAAUGCUACUUCUAAUCCUGAUGCUGACAGCCAGAGUCACCUUGCCAUUUAAACGUUAGAUUGUUUGUUUAUUUAUUUUAUACUGUAUUCUCUGC